GACGAACGCUGGCGGCGUGCUUAACACAUGCAAGUCGAACGGAAAGGCCCUGCUUUUGUGGGGUGCUCGAGUUGCGAACGGGUGAGUAACACGUGAGUAACCUGCCCUUGACUUUGGGAUAACUUCAGGAAACUGGGGCUAAUACCGGAUAGGAGCUCCUGCUGCAUGGUGGGGGUUGGAAAGUUUCGGCGGUUGGGGAUGGACUCGCGGCCUAUCAGCUAGUUGGUAGGGUAGUAGCUUACCAAGGCUAUGACCGAUAGCCGGGCUGAGAGGAGGAGCAGCCAGAGGGGGACUGAGACACGGACGAGACUCCUACGGGAGGCAGCAGUGGGGAAUAUUGGACAAUGGGCGAAAGCCUGAUCCAGCAAUGCCGCGUGAGUGAGGAAGGCCUUAGGGUUGUAAAGCUCUUGUACCCGGGAUGAUAAUGACAGUACCGGGAGAAUAGGAUACGGCUAACUCCGUG
rnacentral:rRNA from 1 species